GAAGAAAUCAUCCACCCAUCUGCUCGGAAAUAGCAGCAAUACCAAGGUUCCCUAAAUUCAACUCUUGAAUGCUGAAUAAACCGAUAGCAAUGUGUUGGAGAGGCAAAAGCAGAGUAUCAGUGAGGUCACGGUGACACAGACGAAUCCUGCAUUGGACGUCAGAGUUUCGGAGCGGAGGGAGAGCCAAGAGAGCUCCUCAGCCCGAUCUAGACCUUAACUCCAGCGAGAAGAGGGAAACAGCCAUACCUCUAAAGCAUUUAGCGUCUUCAAUCAGAGGUUUUACUAAUUGAACUCAAAAGAGUCCACGCUGCACUUGUUUCCAUCAUCAACGGCACCUCAGAGGCCGCUAUUUGUUCUGGCAUUGCCUGGUGGCGAGAGAUGGACAGCCAGCAUGCAGACGCAC
ensembl:lncRNA